rnacentral:rRNA from 1 species
UACGGAGGGGGCUAGCGUUGUUCGGAAUUACUGGGCGUAAAGCGCACGUAGGCGGACCUACAAGUCGGGGGUGAAAGCCCGAGGCUCAACCUCGGAACUGCCCUCGAUACUGCAAAUCUCGAGUCCGAGAGAGGUGAGUGGAAUUCCUAGUGUAGAGGUGAAAUUCGUAGAUAUUAGGAAGAACACCAGUGGCGAAGGCGGCUCACUGGCUCGGUACUGACGCUGAGGCGCGAAAGCGUGGGGAGCAAACAGG